rnacentral:rRNA from 1 species
UAUUAAAUAGCCGCAAUUCGUGCUAAGGUAGCAUAAUAAUUUGUCUUUUAAAUGAAGUCUAGUAUAAAUGAUUUAACAUUUUAAUUUACUUAUUUAAUUUAAAUAUUUCAAAAUUUCAUAUAAUGUUAAAAAGCAUUAAUUAAUAAAUAAGACGACAAGACCCUAUUGAAUUUAACUGAAGUUAAACUGGGGAAGUUAAUUAAUUAUUAUUUUAAUUAUUAUUUUUAUAAAAAAAUCCUUAAAUUAGAUUAAUUAAAUUACCAUAGGGAUAACAGCGCAAUUAAAUUUUAAAGUUCUUAUUAAAAAUUUAGAUUACGACCUCGAUGUUGAAUUAAUUUCCUAAUUAAAGCAAAUUUUAAAUAAAGGAAGUCUGUUCGACUUUUAAUUAAUUACAUGAUUUGAGUUCAGACCGGUGUAAACCAGGUCGGUUUCUAUCUAUUAAAAAUUUUUCUUACAGUACGAAAGGGCCUAAGAAUAUAAUAAAAUUAAUUUAUUGGCAGAUAAAUGCAUUAGAAUUAGAAUCUAAUAAAACUAAA